rnacentral:lncRNA from 1 species
UUUGAUCAACUCCCCUUCUUAUUCGGAACAAGUCGUGGUUUCACAAAACGUCACUCUCCUGAAAAUUCUCUGAUUUCAUAACUCCACUCUCUCUCGAUUAUGCCGCCUUGUCGAUCGUCUUCACAAUCUUGCCGUUGCCAGAGUAUCCUCUCAUAAUCUAUCAUCACGGUUCAUCAGCAAAAAACCCAGGUAAAGUUCUUUGAUUUUCUUUUAUGUGUCCUUUAUAUAAUCAGUCGAUUCGGGCCUCGAAAUUAGGGUUCAUCCAGAUCUGUAUUUGGUGCGGUUGGUAAUUACGGUUUAGCUUUAGGGUUUCGAAUUGGAUUUUUUUGUUACAGACAUGUAUCUAUUGUCCUAGUUUGUUCUUCAAACCUAGAUCCUCGAUUGUAGUUUCAAAUUUUUUUGUUACCAGAGAUGUAUCCACCAUCGCUUAUUGUUUGUCUCUUCCACAUGAUUAAUUAUUUAGGUUGCUUGUUGAUUUCCUAAAUGUUGUGUUCUGAGUUGCCUGCAAUUGUUAUGAGCGUUUUGUGUUUGGAGAGUUUUAUAGUUCCUCAGCUUUAGGGAUGACUGGAUUGAGUGUCAUUCCUAUGUGUGGGUGUAUUCACUAGAGCUUUCGCACAAUGUGUAUUCACUAUAGCAUCCACCCGGUGAAACUCUGGUUCCUUCCGCAGCUACUUCGGUUUUCGAAAGAGUAAUGGUGGUUGUGGCACUUUCAUCUGGUGCAAGGUAAAGGAUAACAAUGAUCCAAACGAAGAAGAUGGAGUUCACGUCUACGACGAGCUGGUUUUAACUAACAAAGAAUUGGACUUGAGGAAGCAUAAGUUGAGGGUGAAGAACACGAACCACAAGGACCAUACCCAGUAAUUGGAGGAUAGGAUUUACUGCCUGUAACUAGAUGAGAACGAUCUCUUCCUUGACGAUGGUGAUUGGUGAGAGGUAUUUGCUGGGUGUCAUAAUGGUGAUUUACAUUUACCAUCUUCUAGUAUAAUGAUGAUGGUUGGAAGCUUAUUUUCUAUUGAAGUACUUGUUCGGUACUAGCGUAUUGGUUUAUCAUGCAUUAUUGACUACCAGACUAGUUAAUUAGGUACUUGAUGUAAUAUUUAGGAUUGUUGUAUUCCCUAGCCACUCGUGAUUAUAAGAACCUGAGACUUGUUCAUUAGGGUAUUGAGUAUUGUGAUGAAUGGUCUAGUUGAUUAAGUAUUUCUUGUUAAAUAUGUUUUUGUGUGAAUUUUUAUCACCGUCUUGUUCAACCGGUUUUUGCUGGUUGAACGAUUUCUUCUGCGAGUAAUAACUUAUGCUAUUCAGGUGUAGCCAAGUCAUUUGUUUUUUCUUCUUCUUUGUAAUUGAUGUUAGACCUUGUUUGUGUUACGGACCUUUGCUAUGAAAACAUAGACUUAUGAAUCAUGUCGGCAUGUUAGAAUUGCUCCAGGUACUUAGCAAACGGCAAUCAACAAUGUUGCCUCAAAUACUGACCCUAACCUCAAAACACUACAUUAAAAAACCUGAUACCAGAAUAUGCAGUUGGACAUGUUGUUCCCUGCCAAAAUAACAAAACAUCCUACAAUUAGCUAGUAUAACUUCAAAUUCAGUUAAGGGUCUUACGAUUAAGUGGUACACACCACUAUCUAUGAUAAGUUUAUUCGUCAUACACUUAAGUGGUACACUCCGCUAUCUACAAUAAGUAGUCAGGUUGAUUGGACGGUACUUAAUACUUUGUUCCUACGUACAUGGAGCAGAGCUUUACUCCCAAAACCCUACUAGCCAAUAGUAGACCCCCUAACCGACAAACUAGUCGACAACGGUAGAGAUGAAUUAUGCUUUCAUCUCAUCAAUCCGCAUAGCGAAGAAGGUCUCCAAAUCAGGUAGCUUGUUAAAAAGCAACCUGCAAGCCUUGAUACUCAUCAAUCUCGUCACACCUGGCACACGUGCCAGCACGUCCAUCAUAAAUUGGCGUUUCUCUGCUAUGUCAUCCUGAAGGCACAAGCUAUUACUCAAGG